rnacentral:lncRNA from 1 species
GUCUUACGAAUAUUUAUGUCAAUUUACACUACCUUAUUAUUAACAACCCAAUCAUAUCUAUCUUUUUUUUUUUUAUAUACAAUAAAAAUAUUACGAAAAACAUUACUAUAUCACACUUGCAUUAGAUUAUCAGUAACAUACUAAUUAUAUUUUUAUUCUUGAUGAAAUAGCAAUAUAACUGAUUGGAGAUACUGUAACAGUAAUAUAACUGAUGUAUUUUAAAUUUUUUUUCGCAUCACACAUGCGCACGCUCUCUCUCUCUCUCUCUCUCUCUAGAA